CCGUAACCAAAUAAAUAAACAGAUAACAUGUUAAGAGUGGUUCAGUGUACAAUGUCUGCCAACAGCAGCCUCCUGGUAGUGUUUGCAGCCUGUAACUGGUAGAACUGCCCUAAGGGAUCUGGUGACAGGU
rnacentral:snoRNA from 1 species